AGGAUUAACGUUGGCGGCGUGCAUAACACAUGCAAGUUGAGCGUGGCUUUGGAUUUAUUCAAAGUCUAGCAGCGGACGGCUGAGUAAUGCACAGGAACGUACCUCGAAGUGGGGCAUAGCCCAUCGAAAGAUGGGGUAAUACCGCAUGUGGUGGAAACACUAAAGCCGCAAGGCGCUACGAGAACGGCCUGUGUCCUAUCAGAUAGUUGGUGGGGUAAUGGCCUACCAAGUCUAUGACGGGUAGCUGGUCUGAGAGGAUGACCAGCCAGAUCGGGACUGAGACACGGCCCGAACUCCUACGGGAGGCAGCAGUUGGGAAUUUUGCGCAAUGGACGAAAGUCUGACGCAGCGACGCCGCGUGCAGGAUGAAGGCCUUAGGGUCGUAAACUGCUUUUGCGAGGGAGUAAUUUUGAAGUACCUCGAGAAUAAGCACCGGCUAACUCCGCGCCAGCAGCCGCGGUAA
rnacentral:rRNA from 1 species